GUCAUUCUAUGAACAUAUGUCAAUUCACGAGUUAUAUAUAUAACAAAAAUUAGACAUAUAUAACUCGUGAAUUGACAUAUGUUUAUAGAAUGAU
rnacentral:miRNA from 1 species